rnacentral:rRNA from 1 species
GGAAGUUUUUUGCAUAUCAAUAAGCNGAGGAAAAGAAACCAACAGGGAUUGCCUCAGUAACGGCGAGUGAAGCGGCAAAAGCUCAAAUUUGAAAUCCCCCCGGGGAGUUGUAAUUUGAAGAUUGCGUCUUGGAGGCGACCGUGUCUAUGUUCCUUGGAACAGGACGUCACAGAGGGUGAGAAUCCCGUGCGGCACGGCCCCCGGCUCCUUAUAAGGCGCUCUCGACGAGUCGAGUUGUUUGGGAAUGCAGCUCAAAGUGGGUGGUAAAUUCCAUCUAAAGCUAAAUACAGGCGAGAGACCGAUAGCGAACAAGUACAGUGAUGGAAAGAUGAAAAGCACUUUGAAAAGAGAGUGAAACAGCACGUGAAAUUGUUGAAAGGGAAGGGCAUGCCGUCAGAUUGUCAGUGUGGGUAAGAAGCGGGGUACAAAGACUGUGGAACGUGGCCCUCGGGUGUUAUAGCCGCAGUUCAUGCCCCGUCUCUUUCCGAGGCCUGCUUUGAGGACACCGACGUAAUGACGGUACGCCGCCCGUCUUGAAACACGGACCAAAAAAAA